GUGGGAGGGGGCUUGCCCCCGAUAGCGUUCUGUCAGCUAGAGAGGUAUUGGCUGGCACACUGUAAUCGGGGGCAAGCCCCCUCCCAC
rnacentral:misc_RNA from 1 species